rnacentral:lncRNA from 10 species
UUUUUUCUCUGAUCACACCUUAAAAAUGUUAAAAGAAAUACCCAGGGGAUCAAACUUAUUACAAUCUUUAAGUGAAUCUUACAAUAAAGCUCAACAUUUUAAUAGAAAUACCAAAAUAUGCACCAAACAACAAAGUAAAAAUCACAAUGAUUGGCAUGCAAUCAAAGAUUACUAGGCAGGAAAAGAAGCAGGAAAUACAAUCCAGAAAGAGAAGAAAAAUUGACCCAUCAAAACUAAUCCAAAAUUCGCAAUGAUGUGCUUUACAACAAAAAGGAAAUUAAAAUAUUUAUUAUGAUUUUUCCUCAUUUAUUUAAAAAGACGGACAUAAAAAUUAUACAACAAAAAACCCAAGUCACAUUUCAGGAGGUAAAAACUAAAAAGUCUGAUAUGAAAAUAUGGUGGUUAGCAUUUGUGAAACAUUAGAUAUUGAAGAGGAAUAUAUUAUUGAAUGGGAAUAUACAGCAAAAGAAACUAUGCCAAAUAAAAUGCAGAUCAGAGAAUUUUUAAAAUAAAAAGAGCAUUAGCGGGCAAUAGAAAAUCUUCAAGUGGCCGACAGAUGUGUAUUUCUGUCCAUUAAAAAGAGGAAGGAGAGAUCAUGGCGGACGGGAGGCAAGACUAGCCUGCAGCUCUGGACAGAGCAGCGAGUGGGAGCUCGCAUUGUAAACUUUAGCUCCAGAUGGACGGCAAAAACAAACCAGCAAUCCCCAGAGGACCCACAGACCCUCUGAAGGAAGUGGGCUGCUCCUGCAGGACCCGGGAGACCCCCAAAACUGUGAGUGUCCAGCUGCCGAAGUGGGAAAGGGAAACCCUCCUCUCCGGAACAGACACCCCCUGAGAAGUCUAUUUGUGGGAGAAGUUUCCGACUUUACCUGGAGCUGAGUCAGUCUGGAGAGCUGACUGAAAUACAGGGAUAGAGGAGGCAGCAGCAAGGCCCUGGGAGCUGAAUGGGUCCCCGGGCAGCCCAUUCCUGCCUGGCACCACAGGGAUCCAACGGGAGAGGAACAGAGGGUAAAACUACACGGAGAGAAGGAAAUCUCUAGCUGAACUUUGUAACAAUUCGAACAGCGUGAGAAGUCUCCUGGCCAGAACUCGGGGGAGGACACAAAUCUCCUGCACAGUUAAUAUCCAGAGUCACACGUGGAGAGGAAGCAUCACAAUGAGACCAUACAACCAUAUAAUCUGUUCAAGUCCUAGAAGGUGUUGGCAGAGCUGCAGGACUGACCUAGGUCAAUGGCUGUGGGACCACAGGGAAGAAAAGACACCAGAUGUUUCCGAUCAAGAGACAAGAGAAACAUUCAGCGUGACCCUAGAAAAUCUUUCUAAAGAGAUUUCACAACACUCAGCUCAUGUUUCGGGUCCAUGAAACCAUCUUUAGAUGAAUGAUGCCUUGUUACCUGUGAGAGGAAGUGAGCAGCGAGGAGUCCUGUCAGUUCCGGAAGGAGUAUUUGGGUUACUGUUCUUCAUUGUCUGCAGUUCUGUCUUGCUCAGUCGCCCAGGCUGAAGUGCAGUGGUGUGAUCAUAGCUCACUGCAGCCUCAACUUCCUGGAGUCAAGCAAGCCUCCCACAUCAGCCUCCUGAGUAGGUGAGUAGGUGGGACUACAGGUGUGUGUCAUUACAUCUGGCUAAUUUUUAAUUUUUUGAAAUAGAGACAGGGUUUUACUAUGUUUACCAGGCUGGUCUCAAACUCCUGGCUCAAGUGUUCCUUCCACCUCAGCUUCCCUGUGUUAGUCUGGUUCCACACUGUUAUAAAGAACUACCUGAAACUGGGGAAUUUAUGAAGAAAAGAGGUUAAAGUGACUCCCAGUUCUGCAGGCUGUACAGAAAGCAUGGCUGCGAGGCCUCAGGAAGCUUACAACUAUGGCGGAAGGCAAAGGGGCACAAGCACACCUUACCAUAGCAAAGCAAAAGAGAGAGCAAGAGAGAAAAGGGGAGGUGCCAACACAUGAAACCAUAAGAUCCAUCUCAUGAGGAUUCACUCACUAUCACGAG